GAUGAACGCUAGCGGCAGGCUUAAUACAUGCAAGUCGAGGGGCAGCGCAGUGUAGCGAUACAUGGGCGGCGACCGGCAAACGGGUGCGGAACACGUACGCAACCUUCCUUUAAGUGGAGAAUAGCCCAGGGAAACUUGGAUUAAUACUUCGUAACAUUAUGAGAUGGCAUCAUCUUAUAAUUAUAGCUCCGGCGCUUAAAGAUGGGCGUGCGUCUGAUUAGGUAGCUGGCGGGGUAACGGCCCACCAAGCCUGCGAUCAGUAACUGGUGUGAGAGCACGACCAGUAACACGGGGACUGAGACACGGGCCCGAAUCCUACGGGAGGCAGCAGUAAGGAAUAUUGGUCAAUGGACGCAAGUCUGAACCAGCCAUGCCGCGUGGAGGAUGAAGGUCCUCUGGAUUGUAAACUUCUUUUAUUUGGGAAGAAACCCGGGAUUUCUAUUCCGGUUGACGGUACCAGAUGAAUAAGCACCGGCUAACUCCGUGCCAGCAGCCGCCGCCG
rnacentral:rRNA from 1 species